UACGUAGGGGGCAAGCGUUGUCCGGAUUUAUUGGGCGUAAAGCGCGUGUAGGUGGCCAAGUAGGUCCGCUGUGAAAACUUGAGGCUCAACCUCAAGCUGUCGGUGGAAACCACUUGGCUAGAGUCCGGAAGAGGAGAGUGGAAUUCCUGGUGUGGCGGUGAAAUGCGCAGAUAUCAGGAAGAACACCAAUGGCGAAGGCAGCUCUCUGGGACGGUACUGACACUGAGACGCGAAAGCGUGGGGAGCGAACAGG
rnacentral:rRNA from 1 species